rnacentral:tRNA from 1 species
GGUUCUAUAGUGUAGUGGCUAGCACUCAGGAUUCUGAUUUAACAGACCAUUCCUGCAACCCCGGUUCGAUCCCGGGUAGGACCU